GACGAACGCUGGCGGCGUGCUUAACACAUGCAAGUCGAGCGGAAAGGCCCUGCUUUUGUGGGGUGCUCGAGUGGCGAACGGGUGAGUAACACGUGAGUAACCUGCCCUUGACUUUGGGAUAACUUCAGGAAACUGGGGCUAAUACCGGAUAGGAGCUCCUGCUGCAUGGUGGGGGUUGGAAAGUUUCGGCGGUUGGGGAUGGACUCGCGGCUUAUCAGCUUGUUGGUGGGGUAGUGGCUUACCAAGGCUUUGACGGGUAGCCGGCCUGAGAGGGUGACCGGCCACAUUGGGACUGAGAUACUGCCCAGACUCCUACGGGAGGCAGCAGUGGGGAAUAUUGCACAAUGGGCGGAAGCCUGAUGCAGCAACGCCGCGUGCGGGAUGACGGCCUUCGGGUUGUAAACCGCUUUCGCCUGUGACGAAGCGUGAGUGACGGUAAUGGGUAAAGAAGCACCGGCUAACUACGUG
rnacentral:rRNA from 1 species